GAUGAACGCUGGCGGCGCGCCUAACACAUGCAAGUCGAACGGUUAAAGCAUCUUCGGAUGUGCAUAAAGUGGCGAACGGCUGAGUAACACGUGGGCAACCUGCCCCUCGCAUCGGGACAGCCUCGGGAAACCGUGGUUAAUACCGGAUACUCCGCCACCCCCGCAUGGGGGAGGCGGGAAAGCCCAGACGGCGAGGGAUGGGCCCGCGGCCUGUUAGCUUGUUGGUGGGGCAGUGGCCCACCAAGGCGAUGAUGGGUAGCCGGGUUGAGAGACCGACCGGCCAGAUUGGGACUGAGACACGGCCCAGACUCCUACGGGAGGCAGCAGUGGGGAAUCUUGCACAAUGGGCGAAAGCCUGAUGCAGCGACGCCGCGUGCGGGACGAAGGCCUUCGGGUCGUAAACCGCUUUCAGCAGGGACGAGGCCGCAAGGUGACGGUACCUGCAGAAGAAGCCCCGGCUAACUACGUGCCAGCAGCCGCGGUAAUACGUAGGGGGCGAGCGUUAUCCGGAUUCAUUGGGCGUAAAGCGCGCGUAGGCGGCCUGCUAGGUCGGGAGUCAAAUCCGGGGGCUCAACCCCCGUCCGCUCCCGAUACCGGCUGGCUUGAGUCUGGUAGGGGAAGGUGGAAUUCCCAGUGUAGCGAUGGAAUGCGCAGAUAUUGGGAAGAACACCGGUGGCGAAGGCGGCCUUCUGGGCCACGACUGACGCUGAGGCGCGAAAGCUAGGGGAGCGAACAGG
rnacentral:rRNA from 1 species